UCCGAGUUGACCCCGGCAGUCUCCUGCGAGUCCCCGCCAUUACGCGCUGGCAACACAGGACAAGGGUUGCGCUCGUUGCGGGACUUAACCCAACAUCUCACGACACGAGCUGACGACAGCCAUGCACCACCUGUAUACCGACAAAAGGGGCUCUAUCUCUAGAGCUUUCCGGCAUAUGUCAAACCCAGGUAAGGUGGGGAUGACGUGUCGUUACCUUA
rnacentral:misc_RNA from 1 species